AACGGUUGAGUAAUGCAUCGGUAACGUGCCCAGUAGUGGGGGAUAGCCCGGCGAAAGCCGGAUUAAUACCGCAUACGACCUGAGGGUGAAAGCGGGGGACCGAAAGGCCUCGCGCUAUUGGAGCGGCCGAUGUCGGAUUAGCUAGUUGGUGGGGUAAAGGCUUACCAAGGCGACGAUCCGUAGCUGGUCUGAGAGGACGACCAGCCACACUGGGACUGAGACACGGCCCAGACUCCUACGGGAGGCAGCAGUGGGGAGUUUUGGACAAUGGGGGCAACCCUGAUCCAGCCAUGCCGCGUGCGGGAAGAGGGCCUUCGGGUUGUAAACCGCUUUUGUUCGGGAAGAAAUCCUCUGGGCUAAUACCCCGGGGGGAUGACGGUACCGGAAGAAUAAGCACCGGCUAACUACGUGCCAGCAGCCGCGGUAAUACGUAGGGUGCGAGCGUUAAUCGGAAUUACUGGGCGUAAAGCGUGCGCAGGCGGUUGUGCAAGACAGAUGUGAAAUCCCCGGGCUUAACCUGGGAACUGCAUUUGUGACUGCACGGCUAGAGUGCGGCAGAGGGGAGUGGAAUUCCGCGUGUAGCAGUGAAAUGCGUAGAUAUGCGGAGGAACACCGAUGGCGAAGGCAGCUCCCUGGGCCUGCACUGACGCUCAUGCACGAAAGCGUGGGGA
rnacentral:rRNA from 1 species